GCAUGGUCAGGAUGAACGCUAGCUACAGGCUUAACACAUGCAAGUCGAGGGGCAGCAUGUUGGUUGCUUGCAACCAAUGAUGGCGACCGGCGCACGGGUGAGUAACGCGUAUCCAACCUACCCUUGUCCAUCGGAUAACCCGUCGAAAGGCGGCCUAACACGAUAUGCGGUUCACAGCAGGCAUCUAACGUGAACGAAAUAGUGAAGGAGAAGGAUGGGGAGUGCGU
rnacentral:rRNA from 1 species